rnacentral:rRNA from 1 species
UACGUAGGGUGCAAGCGUUAAUCGGAAUUACUGGGCGUAAAGCGUGCGCAGGCGGUUGUGUAAGACAGAUGUGAAAUCCCCGGGCUCAACCUGGGAACUGCAUUUGUGACUGCACAGCUGGAGUGCGGCAGAGGGGGAUGGAAUUCCGCGUGUAGCAGUGAAAUGCGUAGAUAUGCGGAGGAACACCGGUGGCGAAGGCGGCAUCCUGGACCGAGAUUGACGCUGAUGAGCGAAAGCUAGGGGAGCAAACGGG